CCUACGGGAGGCAGCAGUAGGGAAUAUUGCUCAAUGGGGGAAACCCUGAAGCAGCCACGCCGCGUGGAGGAUGAAGGCUUUAGGAUUGUUAACUCCUUUUGUUAGAGAAGUUUAUGACGGUAUCUAUCGAAUAAGCACCGUCUAACUCCGUUCCAGCAGCCGCGGUUAUACGUAGGAUCCGAGCAUUAUCCGGAGUGACUGGGUGUAAAGAGUUGCGUAGGUGGCAUAAUAAGUAGCUAGUGAAAUCUGGUGGCUCAACCAUUCAGACUAUUAGCUAAACUGUUAAGCUCGAGACCGUUAGGGGUAACUGGAAUUUCUAGUGUAGGAGUGAAAUCCGUAGAUAUUAGAAGGAACACCAAUAGCGUAGGCAGGUUGCUGGGACGGUUCUGACACUAAGGCACGAAAGCGUAGGGAGCAAACGGGAUUAGAUACCCGUGUAGUC
rnacentral:rRNA from 1 species